CUUUCCUUCAAGCUCUAAUCACUCUGCUUUCCGCAUUGGCUGCAGAAUGCGCCUUAUUUGUGCAAAAAAGAUGGCAUUACUCUUCAGUGCCCUCGUGUUAAGGAGCCACCCUCACUCUGGGAAAAUCCUUAUUCAGCCACUACAUCAUGGAAACCUUGUGCAGAAAGACGCGAGGGUGUAAUUUUAGAUCUUCCAUUUGAGAAUUCAACAAGUGGUUAUAUAUUUAUUCAUGCAGAGGGCGGUCUUAACCGGCAAAGAAUUGCUGAAAUUCGAUGAUAUAUUUGAUGUAUAUCAUUUUAUUGACUACUUGAAAGAUGAUGUUACAAUUGUCAGAGAUAUCCCGGAAUGGUUUUCAGAUAAAGCAGAGCUGUUUUCUAGUAUAAGGCGUACUGUAAAAAACAUUCCAAAGUAUGAUCCGGCUCAGUUCUACAUUGACAAUGUUUUGCCUCGGGUCAAAGAAAAGAAGAUAAUGGACUUGAAACCUUUUGUGGAUAGACUGGGGUGAGUUGUUAGUUUCAAUUGACGUGUUCUUACAUCAAAGACAGUAUAUGUGUUAGUGUUGACAUGACCUACCUGUCUUGAAGUUUCUUCCUGAAAUUGAAAAUAUGGCUGAUUCACUUGUAUCAAGAAUGAGAAAUCGGACAGGCAAUUCUAAUCCUUUCAUGUAAGUGACAUGCACUAUCCAGUUGCUAGUUCCCGAAACCAGAACUUCUAAAGUAAUAGUAAUUGCUAUAGAUUUACCCUUUGUAUAUUAAAAUGAAUAUUUGGUAUGUGACCAGUUUGGCGGCUCUAGACUUUUUAGUCUGUUUAAAGUCUGAUGUCUUUGUCAUGACACAUGGUGGAAACUUUGCUAAACUAAUCAUAGGGAACCGGAGGUAUGUAGGUCACCACCUAAAAUCCAUAUGUCCAAAUCUUUAGGAGACCCUUACAUGGGCUGGGCCACAUUUGUAGAAGAUGUGAUCACGACCCACCAGACUCGAACUGCACUACCAGAAGAAACUUUCCCCAACUAUGACAUCUGGGACACCUUGUAUGUGUAGAACCUGAUUAUUGUAGUACUUCAUAUAUUGUAGAGCAUACCAUAGGUUGAGCGGUUGAUAAAAGACAUGUAAAAGCUAUAUAGAGCUGCAGGUGAUGAAAUUUUACAUCUGAGCCUGUGUGUAUGUGAUGAGAGGCCUCUUGCUGCCAACCAAGGGCUUCAGAUUUUUCGCUCUACUUGGAUCAGAAAUGCGAUCUUAAGAUCAUAAUUUUA